CCUAAAAGAAAGUCUCAAUAAAUUACCUGUCUUAUCCAUCUCUAACCUGCUUUACAAUUGACAAUAUAUUAUCAUACUUAGAAUUUUGGUCAAUCAUAUUUUUGCUCAAUUCGUGUUCUAAAAUUUGAAUCGGGAUUCUUUCUUCCAACGAGUCAAAAUUGUCGCCACUUUUUUCGAUACCAUGUAACUAGUUGGGAAAAGUCAAAAUACAUUGUGUUUAAAAAAGAUGUGAAACGAAAUAAAUAAUCACAAAAAAACAUUUUUAGAAACUAAAUUUUUUUAAAACUAAAUUUCUGUGAGUAAAAUUGAUUGUCUUGGAUUUUUGCUGACAGCGACGAUACAUAACAAUAACCUAUCUAGUAGCGAAAUAACAAAAUACAUUAGGCUUAAAAAAAGAUUGAGACUAGCUACUAUAUUAAAUACCAAUAAAAAGUGUCUUAGAUAAAUUAUGCAUAAAUUACAUCUUGAUAGCUAACAUUUAGUGAUAAAAACGUAUUAUGGUUGAUUGUAUUUUCUAACCACCGAAAAUGUUUAUUUUCAAUACCAAUUGCCGCUAUUUUUUACUUACCCUUGAGACCAAUGGCGGUGUCAAGAAUUCAAUCUAAUAAGAAUUAAGUUAUUUAAAAAAAGUCAAUGAGGAACAAAUACCAAAAUAAAAAUUUAUUAAUAUAUUCAAUUCAAUACAUUUACAAUUGAUCUCAAAGUGUUUUCCACAUGUUAAAAACAUUGAAGAAUAAUCUUAUUGAUACAAAAUAAAUCUUUUUCUAUUUAUACAAAAAUAAUAUCACUCAAUCAUUGAUCUCUCAUUCGAUUUCACUGAUGAUUUUUUAAAAAAUUCAUAGCCAAAAAUGCCUUUUUUUAUUGUAGCUGUUGUUGGUGCAAAUUUGUCAACUUAUAAUGUGGAAAUUUCAAUUAAGGACGACCCCUUAGGACUUGGGUUUCUUUUUGUUGGAUUUGACGAUAAUGAGUUUACCCUUUGGGCUAAUCUUAAUGGGCCUUUAUAUCUCCUCCUCUGACUUUAUUUCCUUAGGUAAUGAGAAUGUCCUUAUCCAAUAAAACUCUAGAAACACAACAAAAGGGUUAGAGGGCUGGCUUUGCCAACGUAAACCCUCUUAUGGGCAAAUCAGUCAUCAGAUCUUUAGAAAUAUAAAAUUAAAGAGAAAGAAAACUAGAGAGAGAAAGUCAGCAUUUCCUCUCAUGAAUCAAUUUUUUUCAUAACUUUUAGUGAGAAUGAUGGACAUAUUUAUAGGCGAAAUUGAUUUGACUAGAGUCCUAAUUACUUUGAUAACAAGUGUCAUUAUUCUUGUGACAUUUAACAACAUUUGUCUUCUAGCGCUCAUGUUGAUUGACAUAUAGAUAUGCAAAUUUGUCUAUGGAUUAAAAGAAGAAGCAUUUUAUCCUUAGAUUAUUUUUACUGAGAUUUUGGGAUUAUAGGAAUCUUGGAACUUAGGAGGUUUGUUCAGGAUAAGAGCCUAGGAUCUCGAUACCUUUUGGGUUUUGAAUCCUUGCUACCUAGUUGAUUUAUCCUAGGUGGUUUGUCUUAGGAUAGAAACCUAAGACCUCGGCUCCUUUUAGGCUUUGAAGACUUGCCACCUAGUUGAUUUACCCUAGAACGUUUAUCUACCUUUUCAUAGGGAUUGAAUUUAUUCAGGCCCUAACUGGGCUUAUUCUAUUUUUGGUCAAACACUUGCCUCACCCCCCCAGCCUAAAAAUUUCAAAGUGAAAAAAAAUUAGACUAUUUUUCUUAGGAUAAUUUUUCUCUGAGGAAUUUUUCUUUAAAUUUCAUCCUUAUGAGGAUUUUAUCAUAGUAUAUUCUUAAGAUGAUUUUAUUUUAUGGUGAUUUUAUUUUCUAAAAGGAAUUCUUCCUUAAAUUUAAUCCUUAGGAGUAUUUUAUGCUAGGAUAUCUUUAAAAGGAUUUUAUCCUAGGAUGAUUUUCUCUAAGGAAUAUUUUCUUAAAUUUCAUCUUUAGGAGGAUUUUAUCCUAGGAUAUCCUUAAGAGGAUUUUAUCCUAAGAUGAUUUUCUCUAAGGAAUUUUUCCAUGAAUUUCUAUUCAUAGGAGUAUUUUCCCCAAGGAUUUUAAUAUUUGAUUUUCACCUUUAAGAGGAUUUUUUCUGAGGAUUUUGUUUUUUAAAUUUCAUCAUUAGGAGGAUUUUAUCGUAGGAUAUCCUUAGGAGGAUUUUAUCUUAAAAUGAUUUUCUCCAAGGCAUUUCUCCUUGAAUUUCCAUCCUUAGGAGGAUUUGCUCUAAGGAUUUUUAUAUUCGAUUUUCAGCUUUAGGAGGAUUUUAUCCUAGAAUGAUUUUCUCUAAAGAAAUUUUCCUUGAAUUUCCAUCCUUAGGAGGAUUUUCUCUGAGGAUUUUUAUCCUUGAUUACCAUCCUUAGGAGGAUUUUCUCCAAUGAUUAUUUUAUUUCCUUCUUAGGAUUAUUUUUUCCAUCUUUAGAUGAUUUCAUUUCCAUUCUAGAAUGGUUUUUUUUUCCAUCCUAGGAUGCUUUUUUUUUUCCAUCUUUGGAUGAUUUUAUUUCCAUCCUAAGAUUUUUUUUUUCCAUCUUUGGAUGAUUUUAUCUCCAUCCUAGGAUGAUUUUGUUUCCAUCCUAGGAUCAUUUUUUUUAUGAUUCUAUUUCCAUACUAGGAUUAUUUUAUUUCCUUCUUAGGAUUAUUCUAUAUCCAUCCUAGGAUGAUUUUCGGAUAAUUUUAUUUCCAUCGUAGGAAGAUUCUUGCCAUCUUUGGAUAAUUCUAUUUCCAUCCUAGGAUGAUUUUUGGAGAUUUAAACUAUCUUAGGAGGAUUUGUUUCCUUCCUAAGAAUAUUUGAUUUCAAUCAUUACUUGUCUUAAUUACAGAUCUUUUUUAAUUUGCUAAGAUCAUCUUCCUCUCCUAUAUAAUGCCUCAUUUUCCAUUCUCCUUUCUUAUGCAAGUCUUUACUAAAGAGAAGAGAAGAGGUUAGAGAGAAAAGCUCUCAAGGUGCUUGACUGCGGUGAUCCACGGUGCUUGACGGCGGUGUUCAUAGUAGCUAGCGAUGAAUUUUCGGCGGCCUUUGGGCAACUCUCUGGUGAUUUUCCGACGACUUUCCGUGAGUAUAUAUUUAUUCAUUACUUUUUACUAUCUAUUGCCAUUCUUAGGAGAGUAAUCAUAGGUUAUUGUGACUUUGUAGGUUUUUCUUAGUUCAAUAAGACCUAGUAUCGAAAUGACCAAGGUUAAAAAUAUAAUGGUGGAUGCUAUUCCCUUGACAACUAUUCAUGCUACUAUGAGUGAUGUAGGUAGUUGUGAGUUAAAAUGGGAGAUAGACGAGGAUGGCAGUGCAUAUAUAGAAGAAAUAAUAAAAAGAAAAGAGGUGAUUAACUUAGAAAAUUCUAAGGAUGAGGACGAGCUUGUAGUUGAAGAUACCCAUCUAUGGCAGAUGUAAACGAUUAAAUGUGGAUUAGAUGAGAUGUCCCUUGAGAUACUAAUGAUUAGAUAUAACAUUAAUUGAUUAAUAACACUUCAUCGUGCUUCACUUAGAAGGAGCAUUACCAAUCCUCCUAAGGGCUUUGUUGGGAUCACUAGGUGUAUGUGGAAUUCUGGAGUACAAAUCUCAUUUCGUCCUUAUGUUCGAAAGAUAUUAUAUGCCUCAGGACUUGUUCUAGCUCAACUUUCUCAUAAAGCUUGGUGCUAUAUUACAUGCCGUAUGAUAGGUAGAUAAACACCAAAAUUCUUCAGCCUUAGGACAUCUCUGUGGAUGAAAAAAACUUUUAAAUUCAGCUACAAAAGGAUCCUUGAAGCCUAGGUAACGCCAAAGAGACCGCAUUCCAACAAUACAAUAUAAAACUUUAGGAGAAAGUUGAGCUAGAAGAAGUCCUAAGGCAUGUAAUAUCCUUCGAACAUAGGGAUGAAAUAGGAGUUAUACUCCAAAAUUCCACAUACUCCUAGUAAUCUUAGCGAAGCCCUUAGGAGGAUUGGUAAUGCUCAUUCUAAGUGAAGGACGACGAACUGUUAUUAAUUUAGGAAUGUUAUCUUUAAUCAUUAGUAUCUCAAAGGACAUUUCGCUUAAUCCAAAUUUAAUCAUCUUCAUCUGCCAUGGAUAGGUAUCUUUAACUAUAGGCUCGUCCUCAUCCUCAGAGUUUUCUAGCUUAAUCACUUUUUUUUUUAAUUAUUUCAUCUACAUAUGCACUGCUAUCCUCAUCUAUCUCCUUUUUACUACCUACAUUACUCGUAGUAGCAUGAAUAGUUGUCAAGGGAAUAACACCCACCAUUAUAUUUUUACCCUUGGUCAUUUCGAUAUUAGGUCUUGUUGAACUAAGAAAACCCUACAAAGUCACAAUGACCUAUGAUUACUCUGCUAGGAAUAACAAUAAAUAAUAAAAAGUAAUGAAUAAAUAAAUACUCACGGAAAGUCAUCGGAAAAUCACCAUAGAGUUGCCAAAAGGCCAUCGAAAAUUCAAUGCUAGCCAGUAUAAACACCCCGUUAGGCACCGUGGAUCACCGCUGUCAAGCACCUUGGGAGCCUUUCUCUUUAAUCUCUUCUAUUCUCUUUUGUAAAGACUUGCAUGAGAAAAGUGAAUGGGAAAUGAGACAUUAUAUUGGAGAGGAAGAUGAUCUUAGCAAAUUAGAAAGGAUAUGUAAUUAAGACAAGUAAUGAUGGAAAUCAAAUAUUCUUAGGAAGGAAACAAAUCCUCCUAAGAUAGUUUAAAUCUCCAAAAAUCAUCCUAGGAUGGAAAUAGAACUAUCUAAAAAUUAUCCUAGGAUGGAAAUAGAAUAAUCUUAAGAAGGAAAUAAAAUAAUCCUAAGAUGGAAAUUGAAUCGUCAAAGAAUGGUCUUAGGAUGGAAAAAAAAUCAUCCUAGGAUGGAAAUAAAAUCAUCCAAAGAUGAAAAAAAAAGCAUCCUAGAAUGGAAAAAAAAUCAUUAAAGAAUGGAAAUGAAAUCAUCCAAAGAAUCCUAAGAAGGAAAUAAAAUAAUCGUUGGAGAAAAUCCUCCUAAGGGUGAAAAUCAAAGAUAAAAGUCUUUGGAGUAAAUCCUCCUAAGGAUGGAAAUUCAAGGAAAAAUGCCUUAGAGAAAAUCAUCCUAGGAUAAUAUCCUCCUAAGAAUGAAAUUCAAGGAACAAAAUCCUUAGAGAAAAUCCUCUUAAGGAUGAAAAUCAAAGAUAAAAAUCCUAGGAGAAAAUUCUCUUAUGGAUGGAAAUUCAUGGAAAAAUUCCUUAGAGCAAAUCAUUCUAGGAUAAAAUCCUCUUAAGGAUAUCC
rnacentral:lncRNA from 1 species